UUUGUUCCUUCCAUUAUUUGUGCUUGUGGC
rnacentral:piRNA from 1 species